rnacentral:lncRNA from 1 species
UGUGUUUCACGCCGAACAAGGACCUACGGGCGCCGGCGAUCGCCGGAUCUUUAUGAAAUUAUCUCAACAUCACCCAGAGACAUAGUAUAAUCAAAGCAGGAAGCGAGGCAGGGAUAAACACGAACCGGAUAGGAUACCGAUCAUAGGUGGAACUGACACUGCGACACACACACACCACAACAACAAGCUCCAGCUGAGCAGACGCAGGCACGGUGGCCGGCGAGAGUGGCACCGCGUCGCUCGCUGGCUGCUGACUGGGCACUGGGCCUCGACACGACAACACUUUUAUUUAGCCCACGUCACCGCGCGACCCCGCGCAAAGCACCCCACACCUAGUACGUACUCGUAGUAAAAAGGUAGCACCCCACUCCACUCCACUGGCUGACUGAGCAUCGCGCCGUGCCACGUAGGAGCACACGGCCGCCGCCGCCGUGGACGCGCGCCUCACACGCUCACGGUGGCCUCCUCUGCCGCGGCCGCGGGCGCCUCCUCCGCUGCAGCCGGCGCUUCCUCGGCGACGGCCGCCACCUCCGGCUCGGCGGCAGCGGGUGCCGCCUCCUCCUCCUUCACCUCCUCGGCCGCCGCCGCCGGCUCGGCCUCUGCCACGGCCUCCUUGGUCUCCGUCUCGACCACGGCUGGCGCCUCGGCCACCGGCUCGGCCGCAGCUGCCGGCUCGGGCUCCUUGGCCUCCUCCGUCACGGCGGCGGCCGGCGCCUCCUCCUUGGCCGCCUCGACCUCGACGGGGGCAGGCGCCUCGACCUCGGCCUCCGCCGGCGCGGGGACCUCCUCCGUCUUCGCGGCCUCCUCGGCGGCCACGGGCGUCUCCACCGCCGGCGCCUCCUCCGUCAGCGCGGCCGUCGGGUUCUGGACCUGCACGUUUGCACACUCAAUGCCAUCAGCCCCACGCACAUGCCAGCACGUACACAAACCGAUCAAGCUCGAGCUCGACCACGAUCAUGGGCGUUCGUCAGAUCGCGUAGAUCCAUCGGAACGACCAUCGAUCCGAGAACAUGAAAGAGAACAGACGAUCGAUCGAUCCGAUCGAGGCAAGCUAGCUAUACGUACAUCAGCGGUGGCCAUUGCCGUGGUGGAAGCAAGAAAAUGCCCGGAGCUAGCUGAAGCUAGUGCUACUGUGACCCUGUUGUGUGCCUGUGGCUGAUCCGAUGAGAGAGUGUGAGGCGUGUGUGUCUGUGUGGAGCAAUGGAGGCUAUAUAUAGCGGCCUCCGGAGGCCAAAACGGGGAGAACACAAACGCAAAUCGAAGGCCAAAAAAAUUUAAAAACGAAGCCGAUCGACGGGUCGAGGAAAUAAACAAGCCGAGUCCGUCUCAUGAUGAUCGGGAAUCUGGGGAGCUGUAUGUGCAAAUAAGCACGUCCUGACGACGUGCGGUUGUACGUGCGCGUCAUGCCAUCGAAGUAAAAGGUGGCCCGUGAGUCAUGACACUGUGUAAAGGGUCCAAAGAACAUACCAGGGUGCCCGUGCACGGCCCGCGUCUAGUUCAUCUCGCUCCACAUGUUGCUCGAUCAGGAUCGGUCGUGCCACACACACACAAAUAUAUGUUCGAGAGAAAAGUUGCGAGAUUCUUGAACUUAUUUUCCAUUUUCCAUAAGUUUCCGUGUACGAUCGGCCCUGCUGUCACGUUGAUGUGUGUGCCGUGUGCUGGCCAAACCUGAUCCGGCCCUGGUGGCAGUGGCAACAUGCAAGUGGGACCUUUUGAGGUGUACACAACAACACAUCUCGUCCUCCUUGCACGUUCUGCGCCGUCCUUUCCAUCGGACCGUCGAUCCCUUACCGAUUAAUUAAAUAUAAAUGAAGCCCUCGCCGAUUUAGCCGUAGCAGUAAUCGAUUCCAUCAUCUGUGAUUUGGAUCGAAACGUAUUUGAUUAGCCUUUGUUUUGUACGUACGAGAUUACGAUAGCUGAGCAGGGGCGGCUGUCGUCCGGGUUGGCGUGGAGACAAUGGAGUUGGAACCGAUGAAUGUGCGCGCCUGAAUAGUCGCGAUUUGGUUUUGGGAUUUAGGUUAGCUCUCCGUCUCAGGGUAGUACGUGGCCACCCGGCCUAUGCUACCGUAUAGACUUUCUUUUCCAGCAGUACGUAUGUUCUUUUUCUUUUUCCUUUUUCUUUUCGAGAUGUGACGUGAUGUGGAUCGGUGAAACCUAAUUAAGGUCCUGGUUACGCAUAUGUUUGCUGAUGGAGAGGGGGAGGGCGGCAUUCACUCAUUUUGCAAAACGAUUAUAUAUAUAUAUAUAUAUUGUCAUACACAGUAUGUAUGAUGUGCUAGGUAAUCCAGGGGUAAAAGUUUCUUUUAUUAUAGAAAAAAAAAUAAGGUGGUGGUGUCGAAUGGACCAAGGUUUUUUGUGAGAGCAAUUCCAGAUCCCCAAGCAAUCACCGCUGGAAUCGUGUCCCUGUUCUAGCGCUACAGUGGUAGCCUGCAUGUGUCAUGCUUCAGAGUCGAUCAGCAACAACAAUUAUGACAGCAACUGGAUGGAUGUCCCCCAUCACCUUUGGCUCUGGGGCUCGUCUACUUGCUCCGGCCUCCACCACCUUUGCCCGAAAGCUAGCGUAGAUAUAUGCAAGACGAUUACUACCGCGCCGCAGGGGUAGUUGUCCAUGGAUCAACCUCACGCUCCAAAACAAGAAACUUAUCAGAAAAGCAACGGGGAUAUCAUCAGCGGGACAGCGAGAUUACACUAACACGAAGUAGCACGCCACUAAUUAAUCGUCGCCACCUGAUCUCUUCCCUCGCCGGUCACCGCCGCCGAAAGGUCGAGAGACGGACAUGCGCAGCAAGGUAGCUGAGCUCUUACAAAAUGAGUGAAACCCCUUGGUUGCCCAUGUAAUCUUCUUUCCUCCUCUAAACUAAUUGCUUGCAGAUGAUUUUUGGCCCCGGUGGAGUGGAGGCGAUGGGGUUGGGCAGCUUUCUUUUCGAGAAAAUUCUCGCCGCCGUCGUUGUCGUCGCUUUAAACCGGCCAUUCAGAUCAUCAGAUGGCAUGGAAAGCGACGAGCAAGCAGAGUCCGCACCGGGCGUCCAACAUGCGCCGGCCACGGCCAGUGCCCGGUAGGACGGUCCGCUGGGCUGAUUGGUGCCACAUCACGCAGAAGAGAUAUACUAGAGUAGAGCAGUCGACAUGGCCGGCUGUCAGCCCCGGCCCCGCCUGCGUGUCCCUCCACCGCCGUGAUCUCCCGUGGCACCGGCCGGCCAGCUGCGCUGCUCGCUUUCGGCGGCCGUGCCAUGCCAUGCCAUGCCAUGCCAUGUGUGGUCGCCAUCGCGCACGCCGGUUCGAUCCAGACUUUCGUGUUGGCCAGCCAGCGGUGGGGUGUGGCUGCGGCUACAUAACGCCGAGCUUUCACAAAGGUGACGGGUGAGGCGCCGCAUAGGGAGCCACGGAGUUGGUGGGCGCAGGGAGCGGGGGGUGGGAUGAUUGGAGCCCAUGACCCGGAAGCGAUGGUGAGGUGGCGCCACGGCUAGGGGCGGUGGAGGAGGGGCCCGCGUCACAGUGCCCGUGAUGGAAACGGCGGUGUGCGGACGCGGCGUUCCACUUCCACCUGUGAAUGACGUGUGAUGUGCCUCCAUGUCGGACCGCGGCCACAUGCGAUUUUUAAUGGAGUAUACUUGUACGAGUACGAGCUGAUCCACCUCAGCGUUUUGUUGGUUCGUCCAAACGACGAGCCGGGAUUUGCGCAGAGCAGGUUGCUUGAUUGGAAGAUGCAGUAUAUUUCCUUUUGAAUAUGACCUCCCUCCCUCCGUUUCUAAAUAUAAGACAUUUUAAACAUUGCACUAUAAACUACAUACGGAUGUAUAUAGACAUAUUUUAGAGUGUACAUUCGCUCAUUUUAUUUUGUAUGUAGUCUUUUAAUGAAAUAUCUAAAAGAUCUUAUAUUUUGCAACGGAGGGAGUAGUAGGCAAAAUUCAGGCUUGCGGCUUUCGAUAUAGUAUAUUUUUGGCUGCAUUUGUCAUCCGGCGUGGAAAAACAAAAUUUCUUUUGGCUGCUCCAUCGGUGUCAUGCAAAUACAUGAAUUUUUUUAGGGUCGAUGUCGCCGCGCAAAUACAUGAAUUAUUAAGAGAGAGCUUUGGUAAGUUAGAAAAAAAAAAGGUGCACUGAUUGGCAAUGGGAGACUUGUAUAGGACCUUACCUUUGAGGCAUUUCUAACCGAUCCUCAAUAGAGCCAUAAGCGCAACUUUAACGGGUCGAUCCAAACGGAUGACGGUUUUGUCUCUUUUUGUUCGUUUGGGUCGUCCACCGGCAUGUCCGUGUCUGUUUCUUUAAAUGGGUCAGCACAUGUAUCCAACGAAAAGCAAGUGAACAACAUCUUUGUGACAAUGGGGUGGGUCAGCGAAUUAAGUAAGCACGCACAGGUGGGUGGGUGGCUAUGUGACAAGUCGGCCAGGCCGGCCACAUGCAUACACAGAGAGGGCGCGCGCGUCCGCUUCGUGUCCGUGCCGACGCAUUUCAGUCCCAAAUUUGAGCCAGAAAUGGGUCGGCGCAGACGUAAAGCGGACGCGUUUCGGAAAUGGGUCCGCCGUUGGCCAUCACUUUUAUCCGCACGGACCCAAACGGACGACGGCGGACGAAAUGGGUCGCACCAUUGAAGUUGCUCUAAGAAAGUAAAUCGCAUUACUCCUUUAUGGCGGACGACCCCCUAAAAAUGUUAACGCAGUAAUUAUUUUAAAUAUACUUUAUCUUUCGACGGUCGAGUAAAACCCGUCUCACUUUGGACGUCCGAGAAGGAGGUCCAAGAGGUGGUGACCGAGGUGGAGGUUGUCGAGGUGAUCGAAGCAAGCAUCAAGACCUCGAGGACCCACACCCAUAACUACAACCAAAAGGACGACCUUGCACUUUGCAAUGCUUGGUGUGCCAUUGUAACGUCGAAGAUGAGAUUCUAUCCUUAUUUUGACGCGAGGGCCUCGACAGGGAUAGAAGCGCAUCUCGUCGUUUCGCAAGAAUGGACAUCAUUACAAGUACAUGUACAGAAAAGAUGAGUAUAUGGAAUUGGCUUACACUCGUCACAAGCUACAACGUGAACAACACAAUACAACAAUGUAUUCAAUCACCAUGUAGAAGAUCACGGUCCAACUACAGACUAAAUCAAAUGAUAAAAGGUCGACGUUCAUCCUUGCUAUCCCAGACUUUCGGCGUAAAACCCAUUCUAGAUUGAUGAUGAAGAAGAAGAAGAAACUCCAAAUGGCACAAUCUCGCGCUCACAUCAAAGUAUGGCUUUACGUGUACCUGCAACUGUUGUUGUAGUAAUCUAUGAGCCACAUGGACUAAGCAGUCUCAUUUUCAAAGGUAUCAAGACUAGCAAAGCUUAAUGGAUGAGGUAUGCUUAAGUGAUGAGGCUGCAACAAGCGACUAAACAUUUAUUCGAGUGACUAACUUACGAGUACAAGAAUAAUAGGGGGUGAUCUACGCAUAACAUACGUGAUCUAAUAAUGAUCUCAAAGUGAUCCUGAACACCUACUUACGUCCGACAUAAACCCACCGUAUCCUCUUCCGGAUGCAGAACUCACGAAAAGAGACAGUCACGGUUACGUACAUAGUUGGCAGGUUUUAAAUAAAUUUACUUCGAGUUAUUUAGAACCGGAUGUUAAACAAAGUUUCCAAGUUUUCACAUAACCACGGGCACAGCUCUAAAAAAUAAUUAACCCUGUAGGAGUGCUUCAACUAGUCCAUCAAAAACUACCACACGCUGCAUCGGAAACCUCGACCGCGGAAAACCUGUGAUCUCCUCAGAUUCCUAGUGGAAAACCUCAACCUUGAUAUUACCCAAAGUAUCCUCGGAAUCCCUCGUGCAAGACGUUCGGGAAAGGUAAAACAAAUCCAGCAAGGCUGCCCGGCGUGUCGAUGAUUCUAAUAGGAGUUGUGUAUCUCAUUCUCAGGACACGAUGGAUAAGCACAGCGUAGAGUGGCAUGAUAGAUAUCUCCCGAAUUGCCCUGGGUUGGCCUCGCACAUGGCUCUAGUUUGGACCAACACUCAUGGAGAGCACUGGCCCGGGGGUUGAUUAAUUAUCCACGGGGUCCGAAAAGUCUCUAUGCAAUUUUAUUAGGUUAUUAGACAAAUGUAGUACAAAUGUUGGGCCUUGUCGGAAGAUUUUUAUACCAAAACGAAAGUCAAGGGGGUCCCCAUAACAACCCCAAGCAUGUUAGGAGCGUUCAGUAUGGAUCUUAACACCGGUACACAACUAGCUAGGGUAGCAAAGGUGGAACAAAACACCGAGCUAGAAGGCCAAGCCUUCUACCUUUUACCAAGUAUAUAGGUGCAUUAAAUUAAAUAAAGAUAAUAUGGUGAUAUAACAAGGAAUCCAUGUUGACACAUGGAAAGCAACUACACCUGCAACUAGCAACGCUAUAAGAAGUCUGACCAAGCAGUAACAUAGUCAAACAGUGGCUUGCUGGGAUGUGGAGGGGUUAGAGGUUUUCAUGGAAAUGUUGGAAGGCUGACAUUUAAGUGGUAGGCACCGAGACAUAGCGAAAGAAACGAGACAACUAGCAUGACAAUGAUAGUAAUCGUAUCUAGGGAAAUGAUCAUCUUGCGUGUGAUCCCACUUGGAAGAAGAACGAAUCCAUGAAGCAGACGAACCGACGUAGAGGAACGAAUCCUCACACUCAAUAGCGGUUCCGAACUCUAUCGAGAAGAAACAAUCCGGAAACAACAAUCAACACACAAUAACACCACAACAUAUGCAUGACAUGACGUGCAAACAAUUAUGAUGCAUGUCCAUUUAAUUAUGUACGACACGACAAAGCACAACAAUUUAUUACUACAUAUUAUAUGAAGCUCAAUAUGCAGCUCGUUGGAUAUUGACAAANNNNNNNNNNNNNNNNNNNNNNNNNNNNNNNNNNNNNNNNNNNNNNNNNNNNNNNNNNNNNNNNNNNNNNNNNNNNNNNNNNNNNNNNNNNNNNNNNNNNAUCCAUCACUGAUCCACUGCCUACCAGUCUUUUACUACUGGUCCUCGCUACGUUACUUUGUGUAGGCUUGUCCCUUGCUACAAAAGGGAUUGGGCCACUUUGCUGCUACUAUUGCUACUGCUGCCACUUUGCUGCUACUGUUGCUACUGCUGUUACUUUGCUGCUGCUGCUACUGUUGUUCCUUGCUACUCCGCUGCUACUUAGUGCAAAACCUUUUCUGGAGCAGUUGCUGGGGAAGAAUAGUCCCCCGUCAACGUGCUUUUUACUGGCGCCAUUGAUACAACAGUUAGGAAUAGUCUGCCGUCAACACAUCGUUUCUGGCACUGUUGCUAUCAUACUACCUUGCUACUGAUACUUUGCUUGCAGACACUAAUCUUUCAGGUGUGGUUGAAUCUGACACACUCAGCUGCUAAUACUCGAGAAUAUUCUUUUGCUUCCCUUGUGUGAACCAACAAAUUUGGGUUGAAUACUCUACCCUCGAAAACUGAUGGGAUCCCAUACGCUUGUGGGUUGUCAAUGCACCGCAUUUUGGCAACACCAUGUUUCCUAGAGUUGGCAACAAGGACCAGGUCCACUCUUACCUGGUAGAUAUGCUCAUCAUGUGUCAGAAGGGGCGGACUCGCCCCUCUGGACCACUGGAUGUCUCUCAUGUUAUGUGGAACGAGGUGUACUCCGCUGUCUUCCACCGUAAGAUCCCAAUCUAUGGUCCGUAUCUGUUUUACUUCAUCAAGAUGACUUGGGCAAACACCUCAACUACACCUGCUGCCCAGCUGUUGAGUUUCUUGCUCCUAAUUGGAUUCGACAUGAGCCCAUCAAACUGCGCCAGAAGGACAAAUGGGCAAACACCUCAAGUACACCUGCUGCCCCUAGGGAUUCUGAUUAGGAUGUGGCUGCUGCUGAGGAUGAGGCUGUUCCAGAGUCACACAUGCCUUCCUCUACCGAGCCAUCAUGGGCCAAAAAGCUCACCAACAGGAUGAAUACCUUGUUUUGCAUGCAGGCCAAGGGACAGUACAUGACCCAUGUCACUCAGAAGGAGAGUCAUCAGCGUGGCAAGAUGAUCACGAGGAAGCUUGACAUGCACAUCUCUAGUGGAUCUGAGCGAGAGAUCACCCCGGAGGCUGAGUGGAUGUAGAAGAACAAGCUGCAGUGGGCUGCGUUUGACCAGGGCUCUGAGGAGGAGACAAACNNNNNNNNNNNNNNNNNNNNNNNNNNNNNNNNNNNNNNNNNNNNNNNNNNNNNNNNNNNNNNNNNNNNNNNNNNNNNNNNNNNNNNNNNNNNNNNNNNNNAAGCCAAUGAUCUCAUUGAGACUCAUGAGGAUACUAUCUCCAAGAUGCAAGAACAUAGUCAUGAUUACGCCGAUGAGAUAACAGAACUAUCCAUUCCUCUAGAAGAAGUGCUCACUCCUCCCUUAAGGAGUCUCAUGAUCAACUCCAAGUAAAACUAACCAAGGAGAUUUCUAAUUGUCAUCCGUUUGUUUUAAUUGAUAAUGCUUGUGAUACUAAACCUUGUUGUGAGCAUGUGCAUCUUGUGGAGGAGAAUGCCAAGUUGAAAGAACAGCUUGAGAAGGGCCUCGUUACGUGCAUCUAAGGAGAGAAAAAUCUAAAUGAUCUUUUGAGUAAUCAAAAGGAAGUUGCAGGAAAGAAAGGACUUGGGUUUGCAACCAAGUCUAAGAAGAGAAGGAAAAACAAGACCAAGCCAUCUUCCUCUCUUAAGGACAUCCUUGUCAAAGAACAAGGAAGGGGGUGACAAUGUCAAGAAGUGCAAAACCACUCCCACCAACACUGCCGGCGAUUUUAACCCCUCUUAUGUUUUAUGCCGUGCUAGUGAUGGGCAUGUUUAUGCCAAAUUUGUUGGUUCUUAUUAUGAGUACAUCGAGUAGGAUAUUUGGGUUCCUAAGACCCUUGUUUCUAACAUCAAAGGACCCAUUCAAAAAUGGGUACCUAAAUCCAAGCAUUGAUCUCUUGCAGGGGUUUGCUUCCGGUGGAGUGUCAUGGUUGCUCGAUAGUGGAGCAACAAAUCAUAUGACCGAGAGCAAGGACUUGGUGGUGGAUGUGCAUCCAAUUCCAUCUAUGCCCACCCAUGUACAAUUUGUUGAUGCCUCAACAUCUAAGGUAAUGGGAUUUGGUAAGGUGGUCAACUCUCAAGAUUUAUCUANNNNNNNNNNNNNNNNNNNNNNNNNNNNNNNNCUCUCAAGAUUUAUCUAUAGAGAAGGUCAUGCUUGUUGAGUCCCUUGCAUACAAUUUGCUUUUCGUUCGUCAUCUUGCAAUUAUGGGCUUUGUCACAUUAUUUAAUCUUGAUACCGUGGCCCUUUUGUGGAGCAAGACUCCUAAAGUAGACUUUGUUGGAUAUGUCGAGAAUGGUCUCUAUGUAGUGAACUUUUUGGAGCGNNNNNNNNNNNNNNNNNNNNNNNNNNNNNNNNNNNNNNNNNNNNNNNNNNNNNNNNNNNNNNNNNNNNNNNNNNNNNNNNNNNNNNNNNNNNNNNNNNNNUGGGGAGACACACCAGCCCUUAGUGGGCUGGUGGGACAGCCCACAAGGGCCCUACGCGCCAAGGAGAAGAAAAUCAAGAGAGAAAAAAAAGGAGGAGGUGGGAAGGAAGGGGGACUCCCUCCCACCAAACCUAGUCCAACUCGGUUUGGGGGGGGAGAGUCCUCCCCCUUGGACUCGGCCGACCCCCUUGGGGCUCCUUGAGCCCCAAGGCAAGGUCCCCUCCCUCCCACCUAUAUAUACGGAGGUUUUACGGCUGAUUUGAGACGACCUUUACACUAUAUACGGAGGUUUUAGGGCUGAUUUGAGACGACUUUUCUCACGGCUGCCCGACCACAUACCUCCAUAGUUUUUCCUCUAGAUCGCGUUUCUGCGGAGCUCGGGCGGAGCCCUGCUGAGACAAGAUCAUCACCAACCUCCGGAGCGCCGUCACUCUGCUGGAGAACUCUUCUACCUCUCCGUCUCUCUUGCUGGAUCAAGACGGCCGAGAUCAUCGUCGAGCUGUACGUGUGCUGAACGCGGAGGUGCCGUCCGUUCGGUACUAGAUCGUGGGACUGAUCGCGGGAUUGUUCACGGGGCGGAUCGAGGGACAUGAGGACGUUCCACUACAUCAACCGCGUUCUCUAACGCUUUUGCUGUACGAUCUACAAGGGUACGUAGAUCACUCAUCCCCUCUCGUAGAUGGACAUCACCAUGAUAGGUUUCGUGCGCGUAGGAAAUUUUUUGUUUCCCAUGCGACGUUCCCCAACAGUGGCACCAUGAGCUAGGUUCAUGCGUAGAUGUCUUCUCGAGUAGAACACAAAAGGUUUUGUGGGAGGUGAUGUGCGUUUUGCUGGCCUCCUUAGUCUUUUCUUGAUUCCGCGGUAUUGUUGGAUUGAAGCGGCUUGGACCGACAUUAUUCGUACGCUUACGAGAGACUAGUUUCAUCGUUACGAGUAACUCCGUUGCUCAAAGAUGACUGGCAAGUGUAAGUUUCUCCAACUUUAGUUGAAUCGGAUUUGACCGAGGAGGUCCUUGGAUGAGGUUAAAUAGCAACUCAUAUAUCUCCGCUGUGGUGUUUGCGUAAGUAAGAUGCGAUCCUACUAGAUACCCAUGGUCACCACGUAAAACAUGCAACAACAAAAUUAGAGGACGUCUAACUUGUUUUUGCAGGGUAUGCUUGUGAUGUGAUAUGGCCAAUGAUGUGAUGUGAUAUAUUGGAUGUAUGAGAUGAUCAUAUUGUAAUAGAAAUAUCGACUUGCACGUCGAUGGUACGGCAACCGGCAGGAGCCAUAGGGUUGUCUUUAUACUAACGUUUGUGCUUGCAGAUGCGUUUACUAUUUUGGUAGGAUGUAGCUUUAGUAGUAAUAGCAUGAGUAGCACGACAACCCCGAUGGCAACACGUUGAUGGAGAUCAUGGUGUGGCGCCGGUGACAAGAAGAUCGUGCCGGUGCUUUGGNNNNNNNNNNNNNNNNNNNNNNNNNNNNNNNNNNNNNNNNNNNNNNNNNNNNNNNNNNNNNNNNNNNNNNNNNNNNNNNNNNNNNNNNNNNNNNNNNNNNGCAUCGACGUAACCUUUUACGGCGAGCUCUUCGUCACCUCCAUACACGAGAAACAUCUCCUUAGUCCUUUUCAGGUACUUUAGGAUAUUCUUGACCGCUGUCCAGUGAUCCACUCCUGGAUUACUCUGGAACCUACCUGCCAUACUUAUGGCCAGGCUAACAUUCGGUCUAGUGCACAGCAUCGCAUACAUGAUAGAACCUAUGGCUGAAGCAUAGGGGACGGAGCGCAUAUGCUCUCUAUCUUCAUCAGUUGCUGGGCACUGAGUCUUACUCAAUCUUGUACCUUGUAAAACUGGCAAGAACCCUUUCUUGGACUGUUCCAUUUUGAACCUUUUCAAAACUUUAUCAAGGUAUGUGCUUUGUGAAAGUCCUAUCAGGCGUUUUGAUCUAUCCCUAUAGAUCUUAAUGCCUAGAAUGUAAGCAGCUUCUCCUAGGUCCUUCAUAGAGAAACUUUUAUUCAAGUAACCUUUUAUGCUCUCCAAAAGCUCUAUGUUGUUUCCAAUCAGUAAUAUGUCAUCCACAUAUAAUAUUAGAAACGCCACAGAGCUCCCACUC